rnacentral:lncRNA from 1 species
CUUUACUCAGCAGCCCAUACUAGGUCCUCACCAAUUUCUUGAUGGAGUACGAAGUAAGGUUUGCCAUAUUACCUACUCUACAAUUUGGGGACUUUAACCAUUGUAAGCCCAAUCAUCACUCUCACUUCUUAGCUUUUAUUUAAAGAGUAAGUUUGUAUUCUAAAUUGAUUUCUACAACUGCUGUUUAUGGAAUUAAGAUGAAUCCAGUGGUGGUCAGCUGAUCACUGUGGGUGAAGUCUGUUGGUUGCUUUUUACAGUAUUUUAUGUUCCUUCUUCUCUUGCUUCCUGUGUGCUGUGCUGUGAAGCAUGACAGAGCACCUGCCUGUGUGUGCACAGCACCGUGAACUCAAUCUUUCAGUCACUUUCUUUUCUUUUCAUGUUUAAAUAAGAGAUAAGCCACGUUGGCCAGGGCAUGUGGACUCUCCAUGGAGUUCACUAACAAACCGAAUUUAUGUAUCGUUGCAAAAUAGUCAACACUCCAGUCUGUUAGAAACAGGUGCCAAGAGAGGAAAUGUUUAAUAUUUUCCACGUGGCAUGGGCUCUGUCAGACAGUGUUUCCAACCAGAGUCUGUUUUCGCAGUUAAAUCAUAGGUUCAGAGUCUUCCUUUUGCCUCAAGAGUCUGUCUGGUGGCUGGCUCGCAGCUAGCUUCUGCACAAUCCCCUCACUCUGACCCUGCAUCUUCAAUGCCGCCAUUCUGCCAAACCGCUGCUACUUCUGGAAAUGAACCCUGCUUUCCAGCAUUUGGGCUGGACAGGGUUCUCCAGGCUUGCUAACUACAGCAGCUGUUUUCUGUCCCCAGUAAGAGCCAGGGUGACAUACCUACCUGCCCAGAGCCACCCUUGACAGGAGACUCAGGGAGAAGUGCCCCCAGGACCAAAGCACCUGCCCAGCCCACUGGAAGAAGGAAGCUUACAAUUCUGUAUGCUUGGAACCCACCAAAGCCUGAGGCCUCACUGGCACCCAGCCAUCCACAGGAGUUAGCAGCUGUUUGAGUCCAGAAGGAAGAACUUUUGGAGUCGGAGACAAAUAAUGUUCACCACUCCACUUCCUUGUUCCUUCACACCUGCUACUUUGGAUUCAGACGAGAAGUUCCAAGAAUCCCUGAGUCCACAGCAUGACUCUGGUUUGCAGAACCUCUGUCCAGACCAGCCAGAUCAGAAUACAAAGGAAAGUGACACAUCCUGGAUCUCAACCCACUUCGAUGGGAAGUCUUCCUGAUAAAUUUAGAGAUAACCUAAAGCCCUUGGGGACUUCCUCUUGAUUUGAAUCUGCUGAACACCUGCCGCACCCCCACCGCACC